rnacentral:tRNA from 1 species
AGACUUGGUGUUAGAAAAAGUUAAAUAACAAACUUCUAAUCCGUAGGUCGCAGGUUCGAAUCCUGCCAGGCGUACCA